rnacentral:rRNA from 1 species
AUUGAACGCUGGCGGCAUGCCUUACACAUGCAAGUCGAACGGCAGCGCGGACUUCGGUCUGGCGGCGAGUGGCGAACGGGUGAGUAAUACAUCGGAACGUACCCUGUUGUGGGGGAUAACUAGUCGAAAGAUUAGCUAAUACCGCAUACGACCUGAGGGUGAAAGUGGGGGACCGGAAACGGCCUCAUGCAGCAGGAGCGGCCGAUGUCUGAUUAGCUAGUUGGUGGGGUAAAGGCCCACCAAGGCGACGAUCAGUAGCUGGUCUGAGAGGACGAUCAGCCACACUGGGACUGAGACACGGCCCAGACUCCUACGGGAGGCAGCAGUGGGGAAUUUUGGACAAUGGGGGCAACCCUGAUCCAGCAAUGCCGUGUGUGUGAAGAAGGCCUUCGGGUUGUAAAGCACUUUUGUCCGGAAAGAAAUCGCGCUGGUUAAUACCUGGCGUGGAUGACGGUACCGGAAGAAUAAGCACCGGCUAACCACGUG